rnacentral:lncRNA from 1 species
AUGGGCAGACUCCUGCUAGGCCGAGGGCACAGCGUGUGCAGCGUCUCCGGGGCGCCUGUGGGGGCCGCGGGGAGCCCCUGUAGGUUGUGCGGCAGGCGCAGAGGCGUCGGCCCUGGGCUGGAACUCAGAGCUGCUCACCCGCGGGCCCUGUGUCCUGGGUGCCGUGCAGGGACGCGGUCUCUGACACAUUCGCCAAAGGGCCUGAGACAAGUGAAUAAAACAAAACCCAGAAGGGCUGGGCUGGGCUGGGCUGGGAGCGGGGCUCUGGAGCGGGGCGGUGAGGGCGGAAGCCACCUUGUCCCUGUUCUCAGGGAACGCACAGCCUGGACGGCAGCCGGUACUGCGGAGCUGCGGCUGAGCCGUGGGGCCUGGCUCAGCCCUGGCUGCCGCGGGCGUGGGGCAGUGAGCAGGCAGAGGGCUCUCUCAGCUCCCAUUAGAGUCUUCUGGAAAGAGGGAUCGCGUCCUAGGGCUUCUGUGGCCUUGCCGCGGGGCUGCGCGGGCGACCCCUGCACUCACCGUUCCCCUCUCUUCCCUGCUCAGGAGUAUGCAGAGCAGUACGUCCUGAUGGACACGUCCGGUCCUGGCAUCAGUGCGUGUUACUACCACUUCGUGCGUGAAGUUCCGAGAGACAGAUGGAACAUGUUUAUGCGGUUUGUCGGGCUCCAGGAGAACGAGAUUGCCAGUUGUGAGGAGGAGAACCCCAAGAACGUGGUGGAGCAGCACUACAGGAUGCUGGUGCUGUGGCGGGACAGACAGGGCAGCCGCGCGACGGUGUUCCGGCUCAUGGCUGCCCUCCAGAAGCUGCAGGAGGACAUGCCCCUGCAGAACACCCUGAACAAACUGGUGGCUGAGCGCAUCCUGGGUAAACGCCACGGCGGAGACACGCCACACGCAGCCUCGUGACACGCGGCCGUGUCCCCGGGACCUGGGUCGAGCUACGCGGCCCUCUCCCCGCAGCAGGCCUUCCUCCGGUUUCCCCAGGGACAUCCAUGCCAUUCUGCUUGUGUCCUGCAUGGCCUCCGGGGGCCCCGUGGUCCUCAGAGCACCUGCUGUCCUGUGUGUGUGAUGCUUGCGUGGCCUGGAUAGCUGUGAACACUCAGUACUUCCCACGCGCAUGUCCUGUGCGUGCCAGCACUGGUGUGUGAGUCCUGGCUGCUCCACUUCCCGUCCAGCUUCCUACCAGUGUGCCAGGGAGGCGGCAGCCGAUGGCUCCGUUUCCCACUUGGGAGACCUGGUCGGGCCUCAACCACGGUGGCCAUUUGGGGAGUGAACUGGCAUGCAGAAGCCCUGUCUGCUGCCUCUCCUGUGCAGGACUGGCCCUACGGAGUGCGUGUCCCAGAACUUGUUUUUCUAAAAAAGCUUUAUUUAUUUCAAAGAGUUAGGGAGAGCAAGCUUCCACCCACCGGUUCACUCCCAGGUGGUCGUGUUAGGAAGUUAGAAAUCCAGCCUGUGUGUGGGUGAGAAGGGCCUGAAGACCAGCACCUACUGCGGAAGCUCUAGAAGCCCAGCAUCUUGCACUUUUUUAAAAAGAUUAUUUAUUUGAAAGUCAGAGUUACACAGAGGAGGAGAGGCAGAGAGAGAGAGAGAGAGAGGGAGGUCUUCCAUCUGCUGGUUCCCUCCCCAAUUGGCCGCAAUGGCCGGUGCUGUGCAGAUCCAAAGCCAGGAGCCAGGAGCUUCUUCCAGGUCUCCCACAUGUGUGCAGGGGCCCAAGGACCUGGGGCCAUCCUCUACUGCCUUCCCAGACCAUAGCAGAGAGCAGGGUCAGAAGUGGAGCAGCCGGGACUUGAAGUGGCGCCCGCCGGCCCCACAUUUUGCACUUUAAUUCCUGCCCAGACCCUGAUAACCCCCCAGGUAGCCCUUCCCCCAAGGAAAGCUCCCAGGAGAACUCUCUCCCAGGAUCAGA